rnacentral:rRNA from 1 species
UAAUACCGAAUAGAGACCACAGAACACAUGUCCUGUGGUGGAAAGCUUUUGCGGUGUGGGAUGGGCCCGCGGCCUAUCAGCUUGUUGGUGGGGUGAUGNUNUACCAAGGCGACGACGGGUAGCCGGCCUGAGAGGGUGUCCGGCCACACUGGGACUGAGAUACGGCCCAGACUCCUACGGGAGGCAGCAGUGGGGAAUAUUGCACAAUGGGCGAAAGCCUGAUGCAGCGACGCCGCGUGGGGGAUGACGGCCUUCGGGUUGUAAACCUCUUUCACCAUCGACGAAGGUCCGGGUUUUCUCGGAUUGACGGUAGGUGGAGAAGAAGCACCGGCCAACUACGUGCCAGCAGCCGCGGUAAUACGUAGGGUGCGAGCGUUGUCCGGAAUUACUG